rnacentral:rRNA from 1 species
CUUUCCCUCUGUCGGCAUGCCUUACACAUGCAAGUCGAACGGCAGCGCGGACUUCGGUCUGGCGGCGAGUGGCGAACGGGUGAGUAAUACAUCGGAACGUACCCUGUUGUGGGGGAUAACUAGUCGAAAGAUUAGCUAAUACCGCAUACGACCUGAGGGUGAAAGUGGGGGACCGCAAGGCCUCACGCAGCAGGAGCGGCCGAUGUCUGAUUAGCUAGUUGGUGGGGUAAAGGCCCACCAAGGCGACGAUCAGUAGCUAGUCUGAGAGGACGAUCAGCCACACUGGGACUGAGACACGGCCCAGACUCCUACGGGAGGCAGCAGUGGGGAAUUUUGGACAAUGGGGGCAACCCUGAUCCAGCAAUGCCGCGUGUGUGAAGAAGGCCUUCGGGUUGUAAAGCACUUUUGUCCGGAAAGAAAUCGCGCUGGUUAAUACCUGGCGUGGAUGACGGUACCGGAAGAAUAAGCACCGGCUAACUACGUG